rnacentral:lncRNA from 1 species
UGUCUGCGAGUUCGACUGGCACUUUACCCUUCUCUGAAAGGUUCCAGGAGGAUCAUUUCACAGUCCAGUGGAACCAUUUAGUAUCACAUUUCUCGAGGAAGGUGCUGUUGCCACAAUAAUGCCUUGCUGGGGCUUCUCAGAUGAUCUACCAGACGUUUGUGUGGAUGGUUCCAUUAUGAUAAGGGAAUACACCAAUCGUGGUGUGCAGAAGAGCUGUGUUGAUGACGAAGUGGUAUUGGCCCCACAUGUACUUGCAGCUCUCGCUCAGUGGCAACUGGAGGUGACUGGGCAACUUCAAAGUGGGGAAUGACUGAAGAAUGCGGAUAAAGAA